rnacentral:rRNA from 1 species
GAACGCUGGCGGCGCGUUUUAAGCAUGCAAGUCGAACGGCAAGGCAGUAGCAAUACUGCCCUAGAGUGGCGAACGGGUGAGUAACACGUAGGUGAUCUACCUCUGGGUGGGGGAUAGCCCGUGGAAACACGGGGUAAUACCGCAUGAGGCUCCUGGUGUAAAGGCCGGGAGUGAAAGGUGCAAUUGCACCGUCUGGGGAUGAGCCUGCGGUCCAUUAGGUAGUUGGUGGGGUAAAGGCCUACCAAGCCGACGAUGGAUAGCCGGCCUGAGAGGGUGUACGGCCACACUGGAACUGAGACACGGUCCAGACUCCUACGGGAGGCAGCAGCUAAGAAUCUUCCGCAAUGGGGGAAACCCUGACGGAGCGACGCCGCGUGGAUGAUGAAGGCCGUAAGGUUGUAAAAUCCUUUUGUUGGCGAAGAAUAACCUGGGGAGUGGAAAGCCCCAGGGAUGACGCUAGCCGACGAAUAAGCCCCGGCUAAUUACGUGCCAGCAGCCGCGGUAAUACGUAUGGGGCAAGCGUUGUUCGGAGUUAUUGGGCGUAAAGGGCGUGUAGGCGGCUCAUCAAGUCUGGUGUGAAAACGCAGGGCUUAACCUUGCGGAUGCACUGGAAACUGGUGGGCUGGAGUUCUUGAGGGGAAGCUGGAAUUCCAGGUGUAGGGGUGAAAUCUGUAGAUAUCUGGAAGAACACCGGUGGCGAAGGCGAGCUUCUAUCAGAGGACUGACGCUGAGGCGCGAAAGCGUGGGGAGCAAACAGGAUUAGAUACCCUGGUAGUCCGCGCUGUAAACGAUGUGCACUAGGCGUGGGGCCCGUACGGGUUCUGUGCCGUAGUUAACGUGUUAAGUGCACCGCCUGGGGAGUAU